AGUGAACGCUGGCGGCAGGCCUAACACAUGCAAGUCGAGCGGCAGCGGGUCCCCGCGAGGGGAUGCCGGCGAGCGGCGGACGGGUGAGGAACACAUCGGAAUCUGCCUGGUUGUGGGGGAUAACGUAGGGAAACUUACGCUAAUACCGCAUGAGACCCUGAGUCGACGGACUGGGGGUGAAAGUGAGGGACCUUCGGGCCGUCACGCGACCAGAUGAGCCGAUGUCGGAUAGCUAGUUGGCGGGGGUAACGGCCCGCCAAGGCGACGAUCCGUAGCUGGUCUGAGAGGAUGA
rnacentral:rRNA from 1 species